rnacentral:lncRNA from 1 species
CGCCCUCGAUCCGCUCGUGCCUCGUCCUCGUCUUCGCCUCCUCCUCCGCCCGCCGCUUGAUCCGGGGAGGCGGCGCGUCCCUCGUCUUCUGCGGCGCCCGAGGAGGCGGCGGCCGCCGCCGCCGCUGGUGGGGAGGCGUCGAGGGCAGCACAAGAAGAGGAGGAGGCCUUCGAGGACGCGCUCACCGACGAAACACGUGGGCUCUCUUGUGCUCGUCGGCGGCCUCUUCUAGUUUUAGGUGAGCAUCUUCGUUCGGCUGUUUUGUUUCUCUGGUCACAUGGUGUUCUUGCUCUACCAUGUUUAAGAUCCAGUAGAUCAGUCAGAUCUGUUUUUUGUAUGUUUGAGAUCCAGUAGAUCAGUCAGAUCUGGUAGAGUUGCAUCUCUCGGCCGCCACUACUCUGUUGCAGCUGGGCACCAAACCAUUGGUGAACUCUUGGAUCUCCUCUUGUUUUCUUGGCAAAUAUAAUAUGGCACAUCUGGUACGGUAGAGUGUGCAUUUGGAUGAAGGCAAAACAUACAUAAUCUGUGGCAGCGUCAUCUGCAUUAAUUUAAUCCUGGUGUGCUGGUUCAUGUGGUUUCAUGGAGUCUAUAAGUAUAUCAUUUGAACUCUUAGUUUGUUAUGUGAUGUUCUUCAAACACUAACAAAUCAUUUUGGCUAUUAAGAACUGACAUUUGGAGAGCCAUUUUCUGUGAUGCAUGCAGAUUAUUGGCAUCGUUCAUUGUAAUUUUUUUUUGUAUUUUCCAGCAGAUAAUGAAAACAAUGAAGUCUUUAUGCUCAUGUGCUUCCUUCUCAAGUACUUUUGCUCUGCCUAGUUAGUUAUAUUGCCAAUGAGCCAACAUACAUAGACCUUUAUUUCUUUCUGCACUAAAUAUUAUUUAUAUUUUUGAAAGUUUGCAACAUCGACAACAUGUAGUGUGGCAUGCAGCCUCACUUUGUUGGUUCAGAACAUAGUGAUUUGUUCUUGUUUUGCUAAUUAUCAUUUCUCCAAAAUCACUUUUGCUAGUUGAGGAGGGAAAGGCUCGUGGACAGGAUCAACAUUAUCUGGUUUCUCCAUUCAGAAAGGUAAGAAAGUGAAAAGGGAAAAAAAGACUUUUGGCGAUAUAUAUGCCCUAUGUAUGUUAAGCACACGUUGUUACAAAUGUCUUCUAUUUUUAGCAGGAGGCGUUAUUAUUAUUAGCAUGAGGCUUUUUAUGUUCUUUAGUAAAUGCAAGCAGAUAGAUAUAGGAUCUGGAGAUGAACUUUUGUAUUACAUAUUUAUCUGGUCCUCAAAAACAGCAUCUGUGGUAGUGUAGCCUAGUCCUGAAAAAUAUUUGCAUGGAGAUGGAUGGAGUUGGACACUUCGCUUUCUAUCCUGGCUAGAUGCUGAAAUGCUGAAAUUCAAGAUUUGGGUUAUUAUUACUUCUAUAAUUGUCGCUGUAUAAAUUGUGUAUACUUUGCAAUUAUGUUUCUAAUUCAUUUUGUUCUUAUUAUUAUUUGUGCUAAUUGGUUUAAUCUUUGUCAUUGCAGGUAUAGGACAAAAUGCCAGGCGGAGGUAGACGGCGACGACCGCUACGAAAGGUCACCUCGAUCUACAUGUCGACCGGCGUCGACGACGAGGCGGAGGACGAGCUGCCGUUGGUCGAGUUCUCGGCGAGGUCUCGCACACGUCGCGCGUCGACGAGGGAGCUCUUUCCCCAGACGAUGACCACGACGGGGGCGGCGAGGACGUGGGCGGUGAGGACGGGGGUGGCGAGGACGGCGGCGAGGACGGGGGCGGUGAGGGCGGGGGUUGCGAGGACGGGGGCAGCCAGGGCGGGAGCGGGGCGACACCAGCGGAGACGUCUUCCUCAGCGUGACUAGCUAUGUGGUUCUUCUACUUUGCAGGAUGUUGGAUGUUGGUUUAGCACACCAUGUUGGAUGUUUGAUGUUGGUUUUGCACACUUAGUAUGAUUUGUUGGAUGAUGGACUUGUUGAACUCAUUUAUUAUGGUUUAUGUGUGCUAUAUAUGUGGAUUUGUGUGAUAUAUAUAUAUGUGGAUCUGUGUGAUAUAUGUGAAUUCUAGUUAUAUAAUCAUAUUUGUGACA